GAACUCGGUGCUGCAGUACCUGAGAGCCGUGCGGUCCCUUUCCACACCCCGACCCCCAGUAGGAACAAGUAUCCACACACAGUUUACCCACAACGAAGCUACACGAAGCUACCUAAACAAUGCAAACAGGCCAGGAAUGAUAACAUAAAUGCCAG